UGUUUUGUAUGGAGGUACUGAGAAGAUGAUGGAAGUUCUGCCUUUAUGAUUAAUGGUCCUUACGUAUUUUCCACAUCUUUAGCAUGUUUCUUGGCAUCUAAGAAUGUGUGCUAGUAUUCUGCUUAUUGGAAGAAAUGACAGUGCAGGUGCUCUAUGUGUGCUGUUGUGAUAACUUUUGAUUGUCAUGUUUAGUUAUCUGAAGUUUAAAUAUUUGUUAAUGUAGGUUAUUUUAGGGUUUUCUGGUGCAAACAAUUCUUACUAUAUGUCUGCAGGAAAUGCAAGAGCCUCCUUUUACUUAUGAAGAAUUCUUAUGUUCUGAAGAUUUGGUGAGUCCAACUGCUUAUUAUUUUAACUACCCAUGUAUAUGGUGAAUUGAAGAAGCAGGAGGCAGGUCCUGAGCAAAGCCAUGUGAAUGUAAAUACUGAGAAUUGAGUUUGAGCGUAGAUUGUAUUUCCAGGACCCUCAGGCACUGGAAACUAAGAGGUUUGUAGAAAUGGCAAACCUUUAAGAGAGCAGUCUCUCUGUUAACUGCCUUUUUUUUUAAAGCUAACCCAUGGAGGAAAAUUUCUGUUUGUUGUACAGUGAUUUUCUGCUGUUGUUAAAGUAUGCUUGAGUGAUGACACUGGAUCAAGCGUGUUUAAAAUAUUUGGUCAGUCCACAGUAUUACUAACAUAACAGAAAGUCCUGAACCCUGAGGCAAAAAGCUCUGAUGAGUAUGAAAAGGGGAAUAGCUAGUUUUGCUUUUUAAUGAGUUGCUUUCUUUUCUUGUAUUGAUAAGGCUGCUGGGGAAAUCCUUGAAUAUGUGUUUCUUUUCUUAAAGAACUUAAUAUAAUGUGGUUACCAAUGGUUCAUUGAAAUUACAUUCUUUUUAGAGAAAACAGAACUUUCCUUUUGACCUGCCUACAUUAUUUUCAAGUAUUGAUUCACUCAAAGCCUUUAACUACAGAGCUAUGGGAAAAAUUACUCUUUUGCUAUGAACCAGAACUUCUUCUAUCACAGGAACAAAGAAAUAAAAAAUGAUAAAAAGAAUUUCAGUGGACAGAACAUUCCAUAAUAAGUUUUUUGUCUCUUUAAAACGUAUAUUUUUAGGAGGAGCAAUUGGACAUAAAAGUGGAGACAUUUUCAUUUGGCAUCAUGUCAAAACAAAAUAUUACUAUGUUUUAGUGUUCUAAUUGGUUUUACUCUCUUUUUACCCUAAAAUAAACAUUUGUGUAUUAAUAGUUUGCAUUUUUUUUUUAAAGCAGUAAUUUGUCUUACUGCCCUGCUAUUAAGAAAGAACAUGUCAUUGUCUUUCAGCUCUACUAGAGGGUUUAAGACCACAUUAAUUACUCUGUAUUAGCACUUAGUAAGUUAUUUUCCAAAAGUGAUGAGUUUGAUGAUUAACUUCAAGUGACUACCCUUGGUUUCAACAAUUUGCUCAAAUAUUUAAGCUGUUAGUUUAAAUUCUUUGCUAGAUCAAGGAACAGAGUUUCCUCCUGUGUUUCCACUUCUGUUCUCAACAGAUGGAAGGCGUUACUGUCCUUUCUGAGAACUUAAAGUGCACACGAUUUUAUUUGUCUCUUUAGAAACAUAGUAACUUUUUUUUUCCUUGAGUUAUCUCCUUCUGUAACUAAAAGGUUACAGUCUUUUUAAUUACUCGGUGUCUGCUCUAAUGGGCCUCCCUUUCCUGUCCUAUUUCUGUUUUUGUCUUUUUGAGAUGAUGUAAUCAGCUCUGAAUGCAGCACAUGGGAGAGGAGGAAAUUGCAGUUGACGUUAACAAUGUUGCCAAAAUUAUAGUCUUACAAGGUAUAUGUAAAAUGCAUUUAUACUGGUAUUACAAUUCUUUUCGCAAAGUAAAGUUCAUUACUUUUGUAUCAUUUUCAGAAAUAACUAUUUUUACCAUGUACUGAGUGCCGAAGGAAUGGCCAAAUUGUGCAUCUCUCAGUGAGCCUUGUUCUAAAACGAUUAUUCUUUCAGGGCUGUAUGUAAAUAUCUGUAUGAGUAUGUUCCAUUGACCAUCAAUGGUCAUCCACACUCAGAUUUGGAGAAGGGAAUAAACACAAGUAUCGAACUGGAGAAACCCACUGAAAAAAUAUUCUCAUUAUGAUGUGAACCGGCAUAUCUAGAGGAAUAUCUCAUGACCUUGAACAGACAAACUGACAGGCAUUGUCUCAGAUAAGUGUUAUAGCUUUGCCUCAGUUUGCAAGUGUGAAGUGUCAAGUUUAUAAAUUAAAAAAUGCUGAUAAGCUGAAGUCCCAGUUCUGCCUGGGUUUUAGAAACAUUUUGUGUCAAGCCUAAACAAAGUGCAAGCAAAAGGCUAUGAAAACAUGUUGUUCUUCACAGACCUUGGUAUUAUAAAGGAAAGAUGAGAGUACUGAAAGACCAAAAAGCCUAACCAGGAAGAUCAAGACCAAUUGUUUGACAGAAUUGGAGAUUUUGUGGCACAUUUUUCUUCUUGUUCCCAGGGAUGCUGAAGAUAUUUUUUUUCAGGUGUAAACUCAAGGAAAGGUGUAUGGAAGCAAUGGAAUGUUGAAAGCUUGAAGGCUGCCACAGUAAAUUAUACUAGUAAAGAUGCUACUGUUAAAAUACAAGCUAGUGCACCUGCCAGUUCUACAGCAACCCAUAAGGAAAGCUUCCUGCGGCCGUGAACUGCAUAAGGGAGUAUGUGAGCUCUCCUGUGCCUGUAAAAUUGCAGUAGUUAGUUUUCUUGGCUCCCAGAGCACACAGGUACUAUUAUAUCACUAUAUGGUGACUGUUUAUAAUAAGGUUGUCUGUGACCAGUCCAUUCAAAGAUUUAAUAUCUCAAAUUCAGAUCCAUCCUGGCAAAUUAUUAUAUUGGCACAGUUCUAAAUUUCCAUCUGUGACAGUAAUUCAACAACCUGUUUGAUAGACUACAGUGCAUUGCACUGGCAUAAGCAUAAAGUCAUACUUUUCUCUUGAUCUUGAGACAAAUGGAAGAUUUCAUACCACUUAAGUAUUUGAUAACAGCAUCAGAUAGGGGCCUUUGGGAAUGCUUCACUUUCCAAUUUCUCUGCUACAGUUCACAUAAUUCUUAUUUCGCUUUUAUACGUAUUGGUGUCAUGAGGUUUUGAUGAGCUCCAUAGAAGUAAAAUACAUCAGCAACCUAUAGCAGAAUAUGUGGACCCCUUCAAAAUCUGGAAACAGCUAGUCUGUGAUUUAUAGAUGUUUGAAAACAUGUAUAUCAUCUAAUGGGCUUAAACAAUGACCUUGUUUACGGAAGAAUAGUGUUCCCUGUAAGGAGGCAGAGUACCAAGGUAGAGAUUUCUUCUAUAGGUUCAUAGAGGUAGGGCACUCAGAUAAAGAUUAGUGGGGGUUUUAAUAUUAGACUAUGGGCUGGGUAGCAGAAGCUGUAUGUGCAAAUAAAGGGUUUGCAGCUCUUUUUUAUUUUUGUGGAGGCUUUACAUUAGGUUGUGUAAUAUUGUGAUAGGCAGACUCAGUUUGCAAGCCUUUUUUUUUUUUUAUUCUGCAUUGAGUUUAUGAUAAUUUCUACUCUUGAUGGUGCUGUUCUCUCUUAAUAUUUGUAACAUAAAAGUUACUGUGGAACAUUGAACUCAGCAGGAAAUUUUAGAACUGCCUUGAAGAUCAUGAAGUUAGAACAGCACCAAGAUUGGCUGUACCCAUAAUGGUAUGUUCUAAAAUACAUACAAACCCCCUGAUCUUAGUAAAGAAUUUGCUAUGUUUUUUUGCUCUGACUGAAACAAUUAAGGCUAAAGUGGUGAAGAAAUCUUUUCUUUGCAUAAAAUACUUGUGACGUCAGCUGUACUGCAACAGAAACUGGAGAGAAAGUACCAAAGUUGACUGAGAAGAUGAUUGUUUUUUACCACACAAACCAAAACAAAGUGCUUCUGCUGUUCCUAACUUGGUCUUUUUCUGCUGCCUUAAUUCCUCUGUGACUAUCAAUGUAUUCUUGAUUCAUAUAUGAAUGCAAAUGUUUUUGUUAGAACAGAAGAUGCAAAAAUAUAUUUCUCCAAUGAAAUUAUCUAUUUAAUGUAAAUAAUGCAAUUAGCUUCUUUUGAGUAUAGAAAUGUGGAUCUGUGGUUUUAAUAUAGCUCAAAAACCAUUCCAAUUAUUUAUUCCAUACAAAAUAUGAAUUUUCACUUAUACUUGAAAAGUAAUAACUAAGUUGGAUACCUUAAAUUGGGAUAUUUUGAUGUGUUUGCGCUCUUAAUCCUGUAUCUUCAGUACAAUAAAUAGAGAGCAACAUUACUACUAGACAGAUAUUGGUAAGAUACAGAUAAAUCAUUCUGACUUGAAAUUCAGGAAGACAUUAAUAGUGGAUCAGGAAUUUGUGCCCAGUCUGUAUUAUUGAUGUUGUAAAACCAUAUCUUAAAGUAAAAGCACAUGGAUUUGCAGAAGCAAUAGUUAUUAUUUGGCAUCUUUUUAAAUUAACUCCUCAAGCUAUUGAUAGGCAUCAGUAACAAAAUAACUUAUUUUAGUAGAGCCAGGCUUUUACAAAAGGCAUGUAUUUGUCCCUUUCCUAAUAUGGGUCUUUCAGCUCUUGAGCAAACUUUUCCUAAUGAAUCACAGGGUUAGAUAUCUUUUCCACUAGUCAGUAACUUAACUCCUCCACAGCUGGGCAAUAUUUUUUACUUUCAACAGCAACUAUUUAGACUAUUACUGAUAGUUCUCUAUAGUUCAUCAGUAAGUCAAUAUGAAUAGAGCAGUCAUAUUUUUACUGUUGAAGAGAGCUAAUGCUGUACUUCUUAAUAAUUACUUUCUUAUGUUCCUUACAUCUCUGUGCUAUUGA